rnacentral:rRNA from 1 species
AGAGUUUGACCCUGGCUCAGAUUGAACGCUGGCGGCAUGCCUUACACAUGCAAGUCGAACGGCAGCACGGGAGCAAUCCUGGUGGCGAGUGGCGAACGGGUGAGUAAUACAUCGGAACGUGCCCAGUCGUGGGGGAUAACGUAGCGAAAGCUACGCUAAUACCGCAUACGAUCUGUGGAUGAAAGCGGGGGACCGUAAGGCCUCGCGCGAUUGGAGCGGCCGAUGUCAGAUUAGGUAGCUGGUGGGGUAAAGGCCUACCAAGCCGACGAUCUGUAGCUGGUCUGAGAGGACGACCAGCCACACUGGGACUGAGACACGGCCCAGACUCCUACGGGAGGCAGCAGUGGGGAAUUUUGGACAAUGGGCGCAAGCCUGAUCCAGCAAUGCCGCGUGCAGGAUGAAGGCCUUCGGGUUGUAAACUGCUUUUGUACGGAACGAAACGGCUCUUUCUAAUACAGAGGGCUAAUGACGGUACCGUAAGAAUAAGCACCGGCUAACUACGUGCCAGCAGCCGCGGUAAUACGUAGGGUGCGAGCGUUAAUCGGAAUUACUGGGCGUAAAGCGUGCGCAGGCGGUUAUGUAAGACAGAUGUGAAAUCCCCGGGCUCAACCUGGGACCUGCAUUUGUGACUGCAUAGCUAGAGUACGGUAGAGGGGGAUGGAAUUCCGCGUGUAGCAGUGAAAUGCGUAGAUAUGCGGAGGAACACCGAUGGCGAAGGCAAUCCCCUGGACCUGUACUGACGCUCAUGCACGAAAGCGUGGGGAGCAAACAGGAUUAGAUACCCUGGUAGUCCACGCCCUAAACGAUGUCAACUGGUUGUUGGGUCUUCACUGACUCAGUAACGAAGCUAACGCGUGAAGUUGACCGCCUGGGGAGUACGGCCGCAAGGCAAAACUCAAAGGAAUUGACGGGGACCCGCACAAGCGGUGGAUGAUGUGGUUUAAUUCGAUGCAACGCGAAAAACCUUACCCACCUUUGACAUGUACGGAAUUUGCCAGAGAUGGCUUAGUGCUCGAAAGAGAGCCGUAACACAGGUGCUGCAUGGCUGUCGUCAGCUCGUGUCGUGAGAUGUUGGGUUAAGUCCCGCAACGAGCGCAACCCUUGUCAUUAGUUGCUACGAAAGGGCACUCUAAUGAGACUGCCGGUGACAAACCGGAGGAAGGUGGGGAUGACGUCAAGUCCUCAUGGCCCUUAUAGGUGGGGCUACACACGUCAUACAAUGGCUGGUACAGAGGGUUGCCAACCCGCGAGGGGGAGCUAAUCCCAUAAAACCAGUCGUAGUCCGGAUCGCAGUCUGCAACUCGACUGCGUGAAGUCGGAAUCGCUAGUAAUCGCGGAUCAGAAUGUCGCGGUGAAUACGUUCCCGGGUCUUGUACACACCGCCCGUCACACCAUGGGAGCGGGUUCUGCCAGAAGUAGUUAGCCUAACCGCAAGGAGGGCGAUUACCACGGCAGGGUUCGUGACUGGGGUGAAGUCGUAACAAGGUA